rnacentral:rRNA from 1 species
GCGGUGGCGCUGCUUACCAUGCAGUCGAACGGAAUCCAUGGUGUAGCAAUACACCGGAAGAUUUAGUGGCGAACGGGUGAGGAUCACGUGAGAAACGUGCCCCAGACUCUGGGAUAACAAUUGGAAACGAUUGCUAAUACCGGAUGACGUCGGAGAAUCGCAUGAUUCACUGACGAAAGAUAUUUCGGUUUGGGAGCGUCUCGCGGCCUAUCAGCUUGUUGGUGGGGUAAUGGCCCACCAAGGCAACGACGGGUAGCUGGUCUGAGAGGAUGAUCAGCCACACUGGGACUGAGACACGGCCCAGACUCCUACGGGAGGCAGCAGUGGGGAACCUUGCGCAAUGGGCGAAAGCCUGACGCAGCAACGCCGCGUGCGGGAUGAAGGCCUUCGGGCUGUAAACCGCUUUCAGCAGGAACGAAAAUGACGGUACCUGCAGAAGAAGGAGCGGCCAACUACGUGCCAGCAGCCGCGGUGACACGUAGGCUCCAAGCGUUGUCCGGAUUUAUUGGGCGUAAAGAGCUCGUAGGCGGUUGAGUAAGUCGGGUGUGAAAACUCUGGGCUUAACCCGGAGACGCCAUCCGAUACUGCUCUGACUAGAGUUCAGGAGGGGAGUGGGGAAUUCCUAGUGUAGCGGUGAAAUGCGCAGAUAUUAGGAGGAACACCGGUGGCGAAGGCGCCACUCUGGACUGAAACUGACGCUGAGGAGCGAAAGCAUGGGUAGCAAACAGGAUUAGAUACCCUGGUAAUCCAUGCCGUAAACGGUGGGCACUAGGUGUGGGUUCCAACUAACGGGAUCCGCGCCGUCGCUAACGCAUUAAGUGCCCCGCCUGGGGAGUACGGUCGCAAGACUAAAACUCAAAGGAAUUGACGG